AGCAGCCGCGGUAAUUCCAGCUCCAAUAGCGUAUAUUAAAGUUGUUGCAGUUAAAAAGCUCGUAGUUGAACUUCGGGAUCAAUUGAUUGGUCAUGCCUUGGUAUGUACUGUUCAUAUUGGUUCUCACCUUCUAAUGAACCAUAAUGUCAUUUAUUUGAUGUUAUGGGGAAUUAGGACUGUUACCUUGAAAAAAUUAGAGUGUUUAAAGCAGGCUCACGCUUGAAUACAUUAGCAUGGAAUAAUGAAAUAGGACAUCGCAUUCUAUUUUGUUGGUUUCUAGGAUCGAUGUAAUGAUUAAUAGGGAUAGUUGGGGGCAUUAGUAUUCAAUUGUCAGAGGUGAAAUUCUUGGAUUUAUUGAAGACUAACUACUGCGAAAGCAUUUGCCAAGGAUGUUUUCAUUAAUCAAGAACGAAAGUUAGGGGAUCGAAGACGAUCAGAUACCGUCGUAGUCUUAACCAUAAACUAUGCCGACUAGGGAUCGGAUGAUGUUGAUUUUUUU
rnacentral:rRNA from 1 species